UGAGCAAGGUGUGACUCUUUAUUCAAUUUUCCAAAGAGUUCCAAACCAAAACUUGUGGAUUUCCAGUUGAUCUGUAUAUCACCUUGCCACCUCUGGCUUUUUUCUCUCUAAUACAGGUAUAAGAAUAACAUUUAACAAUAAAUGAUUUGUGAAGCCAAUUGAAAAAUGUUCAUGCUAUAUUAAUCAACUUGAUAAAAUGCAUUAAAUUUAUGAAUUUCUACAGGUUUGUUAGUGCCUGGAAUCUAUAGGUAGAGACACCCAUAAAAAAGUCUUAUAAGAUAAGAUAUAUAACUUAGUGAAAAAUCAAUAAGGCAUACUAAUGUUUGCAUAGGAUGACAACCUGGUCAUAUUAAUUUUUCUGAGAAAAUAAUCUCAAAUGAAAAAUCACUUCCCUAAAGCAUUAUUUGUUUUUAUAUCAGAUUUAUUUCAGUUCAACCAACAUUUAUUGCAUGCUCUAAGUAUUAGAUAUUGUGAUUGGUCCUGGGAAUGCUAAGAUAAAAUUUUCUCCUUUUCUAACCUUGAAUUCACAGAGAGGUAGAAGCAAGAGAAGCAUAAACAUAUAAUUUCAAUGCAAUAUGGUCCAGCUAUGCAUCACCCCUUCGCUGAUGAGCCUUAAGAAAAUCCAAAUUUAUAAAUUGCUGGGUCUAUCUCUCUUGCCAUCCAGAAAAGUCAGAGCAACUGGUCUUGCUGGUUUUAAGUGUUGCCUGUGUUUCUGGCAUUGGUCACAAAGCCUACUGCCUGCUAAUCGGCAAGUGGACCUGUUUCUCUAACAAUGGCCCAAAA